AUUGAACGCUGGCGGCAGGCCUAACACAUGCAAGUCGAACGAGUGGCGGACGGGUGAGUAAUGUCUGGGAAACGGCCUGAUGGAGGGGGAUAACUAAUGGAAACGGUAGCUAAUCCCGCAUACCAUCAGAGGUGCCCAGAUGGGAUUCGCUUGUUGGUGGGGUAACGGCUCACCAAGGAGACGAUCCCUAGCUGGUCUGAGAGGUUGCCCAGCCACACUGGGACGGAGACACGGUCCAGACUCCGACGGGAGGCAGCAGUGGGGAAUAGUGCACGAUGGGCGCAAGCCUGAUGCAGCUAUGCCGCGUGUAUGAAGAAGGCCUUCGGGUUGUAAAGUACUUUCAGCGGGGAGGCGUUACCCGCAGAAGAAGCACCGGCUAACUCCGUGCCAGCAGCCGCGGUAAUAC
rnacentral:rRNA from 1 species